AUGGUAACCUUGGGUUUGGCUCUUGUCUAUGUUCCUUGGAACAGGACGUCAUAGAGGGUGAGAAUCCCGUCUGAUGAGAUGCCCAUUCCUAUGUAAGGUGCUAUCGAAGAGUCGAGUUGUUUGGGAAUGCAGCUCUAAGUGGGUGGUAAAUUCCAUCUAAAGCUAAAUAUUGGCGAGAGACCGAUAGCGAACAAGUACAGUGAUGGAAAGAUGAAAAGAACUUUGAAAAGAGAGUGAAAAAGUACGUGAAAUUGUUGAAAGGGAAGGGCAUUAGAUCAGACUUGGUGUUUUACGAUUAUCUUCUCUUCUUGAGUUGUGCACUCGUAUUUCACUGGGCCAGCAUCGAUUCGGAUGGCAAGAUAAUGGCAGUUGAAUGUGGCUUCACUUCGGUGGAGUGUUAUAGCUUCUGCUGAUAUUGCCUGUCUGGAUCGAGGGCUGCGUCUUUUGACUAGGAUGCUGGCGUAAUGAUCUAAUGCCGC
rnacentral:rRNA from 1 species